AUACGUAGGUGGCAAGCGUUGUCCGGAAUUAUUGGGCGUAAAGCGCGCGCAGGCGGCCUUUUAAGUCUGAUGUGAAAGCCCACGGCUCAACCGUGGAAGGUCAUUGGAAACUGAAAGGCUUGAGUACAGAAGAGGAAAGCGGAAUUCCACGUGUAGCGGUGAAAUGCGUAGAGAUGUGGAGGAACACCAGUGGCGAAGGCGGCUUUCUGGUCUGUAACUGACGCUGAGGCGCGAAAGCGUGGGGAGCAAACAGGAUUAGAUACCCUGGUAGUCCACGCCGUAAACGAUGAGUGCUAAGUGUUAGGGGGUUUCCGCCCCUUAGUGCUGCAGCAAACGCAUUAAGCACUCCGCCUGGGGAGUACGGCCGCAAGGCUGAA
rnacentral:rRNA from 1 species